AGUGAACGCUGGCGGUAGGCCUAACACAUGCAAGUCGAACGGCAGCACAGAGGAGCUUGCUCCUUGGGUGGCGAGUGGCGGACGGGUGAGGAAUACAUCGGAAUCUACUCUGUCGUGGGGGAUAACGUAGGGAAACUUACGCUAAUACCGCAUACGACCUACGGGUGAAAGCAGGGGACCUUCGGGCCUUGCGCGAUUGAAUGAGCCGAUGUCGGAUUAGCUAGUUGGCGGGGUAAAGGCCCACCAAGGCGACGAUCCGUAGCUGGUCUGAGGGGAUGAACAGCCACACUGGAACUGGGACACGGUCCAGACGCAUACGGGAGGCAGCAGUGGGGAAUAUUGGACAAUGGGCGCAAGCCUGAUCCAGCCAUACCGCGUGGGUGAAGAAGGCCUUCGGGUUGUAAAGCCCUUUUGUUGGGAAAGAAAUCCAGCUGGCUAAUACCCGGUUGGGAUGACGGUACCCAAAGAAUAAGCACCGGCUAACUUCGUGCCAGCAGCCGCGGUAA
rnacentral:rRNA from 1 species